rnacentral:rRNA from 1 species
ACAAGCGGUGGAUGAUGUGGAUUAAUUCGAUGCAACGCGAAAAACCUUACCUACCCUUGACAUGCCAGGAACCCUGCUGAGAGGUGGGGGUGCUCGAAAGAGAGCCUGGACACAGGUGCUGCAUGGCUGUCGUCAGCUCGUGUCGUGAGAUGUUGGGUUAAGUCCCGCAACGAGCGCAACCCUUGUCAUUAGUUGCCAUCAUUCAGUUGGGCACUCUAAUGAGACUGCCGGUGACAAACCGGAGGAAGUGGGGAUGACGUCAAGUCCUCAUGGCCCUUAUGGGUAGGGCUUCACACGUCAUACAAUGGUCGGUACAGAGGGUUGCCAAGCCGCGAGGUGGAGCCAAUCCCAGAAAGCCGAUCGUAGUCCGGAUUGUUCUCUGCAACUCGAGAGCAUGAAGUCGGAAUCGCUAGUAAUCGCGGAUCAGCAUGUCGCGGUGAAUACGUUCCCGGGUCUU